rnacentral:misc_RNA from 1 species
GUCGUCACAAUUGCCCGCUUGCGGGCAAUUGCAGCGACUUCCAAGCCGAUGAAGCCUGCGCCGAUAACGACCAGGCGUUUCGCAUCAUGAAGGGCGCCCCUUAGUGCGCGCGCCUCAUCCACGGUGCGCAAAUAGAACACGCCCCGCAAGCCUUCACCUCGAAUCGAAAGUCGGCGAUUGCUCGCUCNUCGCGAGAAUGAUGUGAUCGGCAACGAAUUCCCGACCGGCAGAAGUCAGAACACGGCGUCGCGA